rnacentral:rRNA from 1 species
GACGAACGCUGGCGGCGUGCUUAACACAUGCAAGUCGAACGGAAAGGCCCCUUUGGGGGUACUCGAGUGGCGAACGGGUGAGUAACACGUGAGUAACCUGCCCUUGACUUCGGGAUAACUUCAGAAAACUGGGGCUAAUACCGGAUAGGAAUCCUUGCUGCAUGGUGGGGGUUGGAAAGCUUCGGCGGUUUUGGAUGGACUCGCGGCUUAUCAGCUUGUUGGUGGGGUAGUGGCUUACCAAGGCUUUGACGGGUAGCCGGCCUGAGAGGGCGACCGGCCACAUUGGGACUGAGAUACGGCCCAGACUCCUACGGGAGGCAGCAGUGGGGAAUAUUGCACAAUGGGCGGAAGCCUGAUGCAGCAACGCCGCGUGCGGGAGGACGGCCUUCGGGUUGUAAACCGCUUUCAGCAGGGGCGAAGCUUGUGGUGACGGUACCUGCAGAAGAAGCACCGGCUAACUACGUG